AGAAAUCGUGUGUUGUCCCAAUUGUAAUUGGAGCCCUUGGAGCAAUACCCAAAGGGCUACCCCGCUAUUUAGAAAUUGUAAAUAUGCCGGACUUGAACAUUUUGACUCUACAAAAAACCACCUUACUCGGAACAGUUUACAUCCUCCGACGAUACCUUAACAGUUCCUAGGUCCUUGGUUAGGACUCGAGCUGCUGAGCUAUUAACCAGCCUCAAAGAUUGUGAAUCUCACUAAAGAUUAACCAAUAAUAAUAAUAACAACAACAACAACAGCAACUUUAUAAAAACAACAGAAACAAAGGCAGAAUAUAAGGAAAAACAGCUGGAUUAAAUAGAUGGAAAACCAAUGGUUUGCAUGGACAGCACUUGAAAAAUAUUUGAAGGAAAAUGUGAUGACAACUUUACAUGGGCAUGGAUUAAGAUGGGAACCAUCAAGAAAGAAACAGAAGGUUUAUACUCGCUGCUCAAGAACAAGCACUACAAACUAAUGCCAUGAAAGCAAAGAUACAAAAAUCCACCGACAAUCCAAACUGCCGACUUUGCAACAACAAAGUUGAAACUGUUCCACAUUUAAUAUGUGAAUGCAGCAAAAUCGCACAAACUGAUUUUGUGGGGAUCCCAGAUCUCCGUGCUUUUCGCCGUGCCCUUAAAACUUUUUUAUUUCAUCAAGCUGGGCUGGCCUAUCCUCCCCCCCUUAGAUAUUUUUAAUUGUUAAUUGAUUUUAAUUGGGGUAUUUUAAAUUUAUUGGGCCAAAAUUUGUUUAAUUCUUUUUUUAAUUUUUUUUUUAAAUUUUGUAUGUGAUGUUUUUAUUCUUGGUUGUUCACCGGCCUGAAUCCAGUGGGAGAAGAGCGGUUUAAAAAUCUAAUAAAAUAAAUCAAUAAAAUAAAUCAAUACAAAGCUAGACACGACCAAGUUGCUAAAUUAAUCCACUGGUCAUUAUGUAAAAAAUAUGACUUACCUGUAUCGAAAAAGUAAUGGGAACAUAAAGUGGAAAAAGUUAUAGAAAAUGAGAAGGUGAAGAUAUUGUGGGAACUUUCGAAUACAGACAGAUCAUCACUUGGAACACAACAUGCCAGAUAUCACAGUACAUCUUAAGAAGAUACUUGGUUGAUACCUAGGACACUGGCAGCAACCCGUAUCAACCAUUAGCACCAAUCAAUGGUAUUUGUGAUGCAUUUUUGAAUCUUCAGUUGACUGAGUUUCAUGUUUAAUGAAUAAAAUAAAUAAUAAUAAUACCUUUCACAAAAGUUUCACCUCUAAUAUUAUCCAUUUCUCUGGGCAGGAAGAGAUAGCUUUCAUCAUUUCUUGUGUCCUGCAUGCAGCAAAAUCCUCUAAACCAGGGCUGUCAAACUCGUGGCCUGCGGGCCGGAUGUAACAUACACUGGCCACACCCACACCCGAUUUAGCACAUGAGAAAAAUGCGUCACGUGACGCCACCAUGAUAUUUGACAUUUGAUACCCCUGCUCUAAAGAAUGAAGCAGAAAAGAUAUUGAAUUAAUGAUUUGGUUGUCAUGUUGUAUAAAAGCAAGAAGAAACAUUACUUUCAAACCUGAGAAAAAGCAUCACCCACAUUGCAAAACAAUAUUCAUGUGAUUAUCAAGAUUAUCUUGAUAUCGUAUCAACAUAUGAGAAAGGAGAAGUUUUCCACGUUCGCAUUGUUUCUCUACUGAGCUGUGAUUAUCAAGAUUAUCUUCAUAUCAUAUCAACAUAUGAGAAAGGAGAGGUCUAAGGCUUUAGAUGCUUAUAUCAACUGAAAUUGACACUUUGGGUUUUCUUAUAUUGAUACAACAAUUUGUGUGGAUGGAAGGGUACAAAGAUAUGCACUCAAGUAUAUCUGCUCAUAGACAUUUCUGUCAAUUGAAAAAAUUCAAGAAUUUCCACAAUGAUUUAAUAGCUGACUGCUAGUCUAUUUGUAUCAUUGAUUCAUCUUAGUACAGUAAAAAUUGAGGCAUAACAGACUACAAUGGCACUAAUAUUUAAAAAGAUUGCCAUCCUUAAAAGAUUUGUGCACUAGAAGUCUGCUUGAUGAGAUGAGAUAGAUAGAUAGAUAGAUGAUAGAUAGAUAGAUAGAUAGAUAGAUAGAUAGAUAGAUAGAUAGAUAGAUAGAUAGAUAGAUAGAUGAGAGAGAGAGAGAGAGGAUGGAUACACAAGAACAAAGUUCAUUCAUGUUGUAUCCCUGAAUACCUCAAUGCAUAUUUAAUCAAAUUGAGCAAUUGAAUGCAAACAAAGUAUAUAAAUAAGAUGAAAUAUUUUUCUUAAAGUAUUGGUUGUGAGUUACCUCUUUGAAACUGAUUUCAGGAUCAGGAUAUGUAAAAUAUUUUAAGAAAGAAACCUUUUCUGCUCAUUAGUUACUUAUUUUCUAGUAAGGUAAAGAGGCCAUUGUGUCAAACCUGAUUCUUGUCAAUGGUACAUAAGUGGUUUGUGAUUUUCGUACACAUUUUACUUUUCCAGCUUUCCAAUCUAACCUAAAACCUGGAAUUAACCUGGACACAGUUUGCUUAGCUUCAGAUAAGGUCAAUCAGGUACUGUCAUCUUCUGAGGCUGACCACCAAAUUAAGAUGAAAAAGGGAUAUUUGAACAAUUUGAUUUCUGUCAAGGCUAGUUUUAUGAAAGACCACUAAAAAUGCUGUUAUCCAGCCCAGCUGUUUCUGAACCAUUAGCUAUAUAACAAUCAGAAUGGAAUUACAGCUGUCUAUGAUGUCUGUUGCAUCUCAUAUACAGAUAUAAUCAUAUCUUUGUAUCCUGUUUUAAGUACUAUCUACACUAGUGGUAUCACACACACACUGCCUCAUUUUUUAAUGAAUUAAAUUGCCUUAAUGCACAUGAUCUGUGAUUUUUAUUGAUAAGGGCAUUUACAUCAGAAUAUUUAUAUGCCAGUGCUUCCCACACUCAGAUCUGCAUUACUAAUGUUUUCCAUAUUGUUUUGUAUGCUUUUCUCUUUCCCUCUAGGCUUUUCAUAAAAUUGGAGUUUAAAAUGAAGUUAUUGCCUGUAGAAAAGCAAACAGAAAGUUGUUUCUAAAACUUCCUUUCUAAUUUUUUUCCCUCCAUUUUUAUUUUGCUCUUAAAUAAGAUCUUUAGAUAAGAUCUGGUCCAUCACAAUUUUGCAUUUUUAAACAGCUUCAGCUACACCUGAAGACAUCUCUUUUCUUCUAUAACUAUUUUGGAAUUUCUCAUAGCAAGGAUGUUCUUAUGAAAAUAUUUCGACUCUUCCACUGGAAUCGGUGUAUGUUAUUAUAUAUUCACUUUUAUUCAGCCUCCUUUAGCAAGUUUAAAUCAGAUUUAUUAAAUGUAUUUAUUUGUUAAAUUUAUAUACCACCCAACUCCUAAAGAAACAAGAACAAAGGGGUAAAGAUGACAAGAUAGCAACAAGAACAACAAAAACCACCACAAGAAUAAAAAUAAACAGACCCACAAAUUUCACUGGGGCUUCAAUAUCUUCACCAAAAGCCUGAAUGGAAAGUCACGAAACAUCAGCAGGAUGGUGGAAAUCCAGAGCUCUGGAAGAACCUUAAUCAUUUUUAUAUGCUGUUGGUAGAAUAGUGAUUAAUCACAAUCUAGUGGUGAUGUCACAAUCUAGUGGUGAACUAUGGUGCUGGAGAAGACUCCUGCAAGUCCCUUGGACUGCAAGGUGAUCAAACUGGUCAGUCCUAGAGGAGUUCAACCCUGACUGCUCUUUAGAAGGCCAGGUCCUGAAGAUGAAACUCAAAUACUUUAGCCACCUAAUGAGAAGGAAGGCCUCACUGGAGAAGAGUCUAAUGCUGGGAAAGAUUGAGGGCAAAAGAAGAAAGCGAUGACAGAGAACGAGGUGGCUGGAUGGAAUCAUUGAAGCAGUAGGUGUGAGCUUAAAUGGACUCCAGAGGAUGGUAGAGGACAGGAAGGCCUGGAGGAACGUUGUCCAUGGGGUCACAAUGGGUCGGACACGAAUUCGCAAGUAACAAAAAGUGGUGGUGUAUUUUGUUUUACUUAUGGUGGUGGUGGUGAUGAGAAUUCAGCAAAUGACAAGAUCUUAUCAGUUGCCAUAUUGUUUUAUUGCCUUUUGGUGGUGUAUGAAUCCUACCAGUAGCUGACAUGCAUCUUGACCUAAAAUAUUGAUGCAUUAUCUGCGAUGGCGAUACGAUUAGCAGCUCCCAGCACAUUCUUACAGUUCUCAGGGCCAUUUCCUUUUCAGCCAUUUUGGAGGACUUGUGAGUUUUUCAAAAGAUAAAUUGGGAACUUAAAAUUUUCAGUAGCUUGAUUUUCUUCCCCUAAAUAAUUCUUUCACCUAAACUCUCAAUUAUUUUUGCCCAUCCAAUGACAGGACAUUACAAAAAAUUCUUUUCCCAUGACUUUUGAAAGGCAAAUUAUUCAUUUGUAUAAGUAUGGUCCCUUGUAUAAAAAAUAUAUAGAAUAUUAGGGAGUAAAAAUGGCAGCGGUUGCAUUGUGGCUUCUGCAACAGUGCAAUAAAAGGAGAGAGAGGGAGAGAAGGGGAGACAGAAGGAGAGAGGUUGCACAACUUAUUUAUGCUUGUUUGCAUGCAUUUCAGAAUACAUGAAGGUUAAACUGAUUUAGCUCCUGUUCAGUUUAGUUUUCCAUUGCCUUCUAAAACAAACCCUUUGAAAUUUAAACUAUAAGUCUGGACUGGGAAAUAGAAGGCAGCCCAAAACAACCACGGAUCCUCAGGAGAAAGCAGGAACCAAUAAAAUCCAGUCUUAAAACAAUUCAGAGACAUAAAGGAACAAAAGGAUGAGUAAACUCUAUUCUUCUUCUGGCACCUUAAUGUGCUUAACUUUUUUUUUUUACCAGUUAGAAUCUUAUUUGGAAACAGACUUUGAUCCCAGCAUGCCAUAUGACUGGACAUUUUUCCAUCCAGGCUCUGCCUUAUUGAGCAGCCUGUGUGCAGAAAAGUCAGAAGAUUCACUCCACGAGUGAAGUCUCUGCAUUAGCACCAAGAGAUAUUCGCAGCUGCUGGCUUCAUUAGGCACAGCAGAGGCCAGCUGCUUUGGCCUAUCUGCUGUUCGGCAUAUUGCGGUUGACAGGUUUCUUCUUGACUUCCACUUGAGCUUCCAGUUGGGGUGGAAAAAUAAAGAAUCUGAACAAAAAUAAGACUUUUUGAAAAAUGAAAUAAUAAAAACUGAAUGAUAGUCAAGUCAAGUGGAAAGUAAGAGCUCCAAUUCAUUUAGGUGCUCAGAGAAACCUUGUUGAUUUGGCCUCCACUGUCUAUCCCUACAAGGUAUCCGCAGUAGAUCCUCAGGAAGGGUACUGGGCCUCUACUUAUGAACUGCAGAACUGCUGUAUCCUGAAUUCUUUUUAAUCACUGCAGGCCUUCUCAAUCUUGCUGUGUUAUUCUUGUGCAAGUUCCCAGACAACUGCUGCAAUUGAAAGCUGGCAUGGUGCAUCUGGAAGGAACAGUGGGUAGCCAGUUUUUUUCUGACACAGAUAGAUGGGUGUUAAAAUAUUGAUGCUGCCUUCUUCCUCCACCUGUGAAGCCUCUAGGCAUAGUUAUCUACCUGCAUCCAAAUGCAUCUGUCUCUGCCUGGAAACAGUUGUCUAUGCUGAAGCAAAUUCACUUAGCUCUUGGCAUAGAUACCCAAGACAGUAUGCUAUCUUGCCUCUCUGGUAAUACACUGACAAGGCUGCUCUCCUAUGUUUAUCAUCACAGGUUACAGGCCCACUGGCAUGGCUGUUCCCCAAGCAGCACAGGCCAAUUGACCAAGCUGUCAACAAGCAGACACAGCUUCAGCUCCUUAGUCCAUGGAGUAUGGUGCACGUUGAAAAAGACAGGAAAGUGGAAUAUAAUGAUUAACAUUUCAGACAAGGCCUGGAGAGAUCUGACUCAACUUGCAACUUAGGCAUUAAGCCAGCUCAAUGCCAACAAGGUAGACAGACUAAGGAAUCAGUGCUGUAUAGGUCAGGAUUACUUUUAUUCUAAUGUCUGUAGUAACAAUCGUGCAAAUCUAAAUGUGCUUCAUUUUCUGUGCUUUUAUCUUCAUGUGAACCAAGUGAAAUUUCAGAGACUUUAAGUUGUUUUGUUGGCAAGCCUCACAAUCAUCUUAUCUGACUAUUGUCUUAGUAGCAGCUCUUUCUCCUGCCCUUCAAGACUACUGUGUAAGCCCUUUAUACUGGGUGCUUUAGGACCAGUUACUCUCUUAGUUUUAGAAAAAAGACAAAUUAUUUCAGAAAACCUUGCCAAGAAAAUGGCACAUACUAUUCCAGACAGCUGCCAGGCAUCAACAUUUACCUGAAGAGACGAAAAGUUGAUAUUGCUUUCAAAUCUCUGAAAGUAUGGUAGGCUAUAUGCAGGAUAGUUAGGUGGAUGAAUAAGUAAUUGGGCAUUCUAAACCAAACUUUGGUGUCUAUCUUAACUAGGAACUGUGACAUUUUAAGUGGCAGAUGAAUUCAAGUAUGUGAAAAGCUGAUAAUAUCUUUCUGAACUUCAAAUAGGCUGUUUCUCUUCCCAACUCUUCAGUUCUUUCUCCUGAGAUACUUGCCAAGUGUUAAACAUGUUGAGUAUUUCAGCUGUUUGUUUCAAACUGAUUGUUACUCUAAAAAGAGCUUUACUUAAAUAUUGAAACACCAUAUUUGACUUAUUGGGUUGUUUUUUUAAAGAACAAGGCAAUUAUUUACAGAGGAGAAAAGUGUUAUGUGACAUCAAAUAUUCAUGUGCUUCAAAGAAAGUACAAUUUUUCAUAGUUAUACUGUGAUAUGGGAUGCUUUGGUAAUGGAAUGUGCUCUACCUGGCUAGUGGGUGCUCUUUUGUGUGGAGUUGACAUUCUAAUAGUAUUUGACCAAACAAUCAUAAUGUAACUUGAGAAUUUGGGGAGGAUGAAAUAGGGUAUCUAGCAGAGAAAGUGAACGACGCCUUAAAGAAAAGCAAAAGAGGUAAAUUGGGGAAAAACUACUUGAGAUAUAGCUGAAAUAAUGCAAGAGGCUGAAAGACAGUAGAGAGAGAGUAAAUAGAAAGCAAAUCAAAAGGUGAUUAAUAAUAUCCAGGCUACUGAACAUCUGAGAAGGGAGAGGCAGGCAGGCAGUGGUAUAAAGCAAAAAACAAAAAGUGAUACAACAGGUAGAAGUUGAACUGUUGUUAUGUUAUGUUGUUCCAGGCUGAGGAAGACACUUGUAUAUCCAAGGAUAUAGCUCAUUGUCAGAAUAUCUGAGGAGUGUAAUGUUAAUGAAUCCCCCUACAUGACAGAAUAUUUGUCAUGCCUCCAGCAUAAAGCUUGUGUAUAUAAUUAUGUCUUUUAUUGCUAUUGUUGUUCUUUAUACUGAGCUCUACCUAUUCGCCAAAUGUGAAUCUUUAUUGAGACCCAGUCCUUUAAGGUCAUCUUCCCAGCAACUGUCACUCCAAAAACAUGUGGACUCCACUUCCCUUAGCAUUUGGAGGAAACAAGCACCAGGAACAAUUCAGCCUAAUCCAUGGCACACGUUCAACUGAGGACCAAUAUCCACAUCCCAUGCACACAGCAUUGCUGGUGAGAUUUAGAUUUAUCUGUAUUUAUUAAUUGUUAUGUUCAUACAAUACUGCUUAUUUUGUAUUUGGGCUCUUAUUGUAUGUAUUUCUAUUUUCCCAGUUUCACCCAUCUUGUUCCUCUAAUAAAGCAUAAAGAGAAGUGAAUGACUCAUAGUGCUAAGCUAGAUAAUGGACAGUUUAUGGAUGGGACAUGUCCAUUUGAGAAGAACAUUUCGCUAUUCUGGCAUGGACACAGUACAGUGUAUUAAAUGUGAAUGUAGAUUAGAACAUAAAAAAGAGAAGAAGGAAAUGGUGGCUGAAGGGAAGCUUGGGUACAAAACAGCUCCCCAUUUCAUUUUAUUAUCACAACUUUUAAUAAAAAAAGAUUAAUGUAUGAAA